rnacentral:rRNA from 1 species
CUGCAGCUCAAGUGGUGACCGCUAUUAUUGGGCCUAAAACGUUCGUAGCCUGUCUUAUAAAUGCCUGGGUAAAUCGUGCCGCUUAACGGUACGAAUUCCGGGUAGACUGUAAGACUUGAGACCGGGUGAGGCUAGAGGUACUCCUGGGGUAGAGGUGAAAUUCUGUAAUCCUAGGGGGACCACCAGUGGCGAAGGCGUCUAGCUAGAACGGGUCUGACGGUGAGGAACGAAGCCCUGGGGCGCAAACCGGAUUAGAUACCCGAGUAGUCC